rfam:Octopus bimaculoides Scaffold3004_contig_39, whole genome shotgun sequence.
CUGUGUCGAUGAUGAUUAUAACAUUUACCUACAUUGUUUGAUGAUUGAUGUAAAGAAACCAAACACUGAUGACUCAG